GUAUGUAACCUACCCAUAUCAGGGGGAUAGCCUCUCGAAAGAGAGAUUAAGCCCGCAUAAUAUUACGAGGUAGCAUUAUUUUGUAAUCAAAUAUUUAUAGGAUAUGGAUGGGCAUGCGGAACAUUAGCUAGUUGGCGGGGUAACGGCCCACCAAGGCGACGAUGUUUAGGGGAUCUGAGAGGAUGACCCCCCACACUGGUACUGAGACACGGACCAGACUCCUACGGGAGGCAGCAGUAAGGAAUAUUGGUCAAUGGGCGGAAGCCUGAACCAGCCAUGCCGCGUGCAGGAAGACGGCCCUACGGGUUGUAAACUGCUUUUGCAGGGGAAUAAACCUCCCGACGUGUCGGGAGUUGAAUGUACUCUGAGAAUAAGGAUCGGCUAACUCCGUGCCAGCAGCCGCGGUAAUACGGAGGAUCCGAGCGUUAUCCGGAUUUAUUGGGUUUAAAGGGUGCGUAGGCGGCUUUUUAAGUCAGGGGUGAAAGACGGUAGCUUAACUAUCGCAGUGCCCUUGAUACUGAAGAGCUUGAAUGUAGUUGAGGUAGGCGGAAUGUGACAAGUAGCGGUGAAAUGCAUAGAUAUGUCACAGAACACCAAUUGCGAAGGCAGCUUACUAAAGUAUGAUUGACGCUGAGGCACGAAAGCGUGGGGAUCAAACAGGAUUAGAUACCCUGGUAGUCCACGCCCUAAACGAUGAAUACUCGAUGUUAGCGAUAUACAGUUAGCGUCAAAGCGAAAGCGUUAAGUAUUCCACCUGGGGAGUACGCCCGCAAGGGUGAAAC
rnacentral:rRNA from 1 species